GGACGAGCUGUCUCCAGGCGGUAGGCUAGACUCGCCUACUGCAUCGUCUGUAGAGGGUAAAUUGCUUUGGGUUGCGGCAAGCGCGGGACUACAAAGUGACUGGGAGCAUGAUUACAUGAAGAGAUGCAGCCUAAGAAGGGGGAAAGCAAGCUUGAAACUCAGAACCUCAGAACAAUGCUUUUCUUUAUGGAAGUGUUAAUGCUCCUAAAUGUAUGUUUUUAACCUGCGCUUUGUUGCAGCCAAAGGAGACCAGAUUUUCUUUGAACACAAAGAAUUUUCCCAGGGAAUUGUUUGUACACUGGAGAAAAGCUAGAAUGCUACAGUGAUCCUGUGAAGAAGAUGAACUGUGGGGAAUAAUCCACUUACCAUUGAGAAGGGGUUCUGGAAAUUGUAAUGGUGGCAAGAUUAUUCCCAGCUGGAAAGUAAAGAGUCAAUCUCACCUUUAGAGGUGAAGGGAUGUGGUGCAAUUCAUAUGUAAAUAGAGUCUCCAUAGACCUGCUUUGUGUUGGGUAGGCUCUCAAAGACACAGACUUCUUUCCCCAUCCAAACAGAUAUGUAACUCAGCUAGGUUUUUCUUAUUUUACAUACAAUUUCUUACAGUUAUGAAUUUCUUACAGUUCCAAGUGGUUUCUUCAGAACCCAACACUGCUAACACCUCACAGGAUUAUUGUGAAGAUACACAUAACCAAUGCACACCGCCCUGGGCUUCUUGGAAGAAAAGCAGGAUAUAAAUGUAAAAACAAACAAACAUAUAUACUAAAUGAAAGUGGAUCUCCAAAUGUUCUGCCCUGGUGUGCAUUAAUUUAGAUUUAUCUGUGUCAUUCAGAAAAUGUACCCAGUGUAGCAGGAAGUUAGUGUUUAGGAAGUUACCUUUCAUUCCUCUUUCUUUCCCCUCCUCACCCCAUUCUGAUAAUACUUGUAUUUUUCACUGGUAAAGUAAAGUGCCGUUGAGUCGGUGUCGAAUCCUG